rnacentral:rRNA from 1 species
GAUGAACGCUGGCGGCGUGCCUAAUACAUGCAAGUCGAGCGAACAGACGAGGAGCUUGCUCCUCUGACGUUAGCGGCGGACGGGUGAGUAACACGUGGAUAACCUACCUAUAAGACUGGGAUAACUUCGGGAAACCGGAGCUAAUACCGGAUAAUAUAUUGAACCGCAUGGUUCAAUAGUGAAAGACGGUUUUGCUGUCACUUAUAGAUGGAUCCGCGCCGCAUUAGCUAGUUGGUAAGGUAACGGCUUACCAAGGCAACGAUGCGUAGCCGACCUGAGAGGGUGAUCGGCCACACUGGAACUGAGACACGGUCCAGACUCCUACGAGAGGCAGCAGUAGGGAAUCUUCCGCAAUGGGCGAAAGCCUGACGGAGCAACGCCGCGUGAGUGAUGAAGGGCUUCGGAUCGGAAAGCUCUGUUAUUAGGGAAGAACAAAUGUGUAAGUAACGAUGCACUUCUUGACGGUACCGAAUCAGAAAGCCACGGCUAACUACGUG